GGAGAGGUGACCGAGCGGUCGAAGGUGCACGCCUGGAAAGCGUGUGUGCCCCAAAAGGGUACCCAGGGUUCGAAUCCCUGUCUCUCCGCCA
rnacentral:tRNA from 1 species